rnacentral:rRNA from 1 species
GACGAACGCUGGCGGCGUGCUUAACACAUGCAAGUCGAACGGAAAGGCCCUGCUUUUGUGGGGUGCUCGAGUGGCGAACGGGUGAGUAACACGUGAGUAACCUGCCCUUGACUUUGGGAUAACUUCAGGAAACUGGGGCUAAUACCGGAUAGGAGCUCCUGCUGCAUGGUGGGGGUUGGAAAGUUUCGGCGGUUGGGGAUGGACUCGCGGCUUAUCAGCUUGUUGGUGGGGUAGUGGCUUACCAAGGCUUUGACGGGUAGCCGGCCUGAGAGGGUGACCGGCCACAUUGGGACUGAGAUACGGACCAGACUCCUACGGGAGGCAGCAGUGGGGAAUAUUGCACAAUGGGAGGAAGCCUGAUGCAGCAACGCCGCGUGCGGGAUGACGGCCUUCGGGUUGUAAACCGCUUUCGCCUGUGACGAAGCGUGAGUGACGGUAAUGGGUAAAGAAGCACCGGCUAACUACGUG